rnacentral:rRNA from 1 species
UACGUAGGUGGCGAGCGUUGUCCGGAUUUACUGGGCGUAAAGAGCGCGCAGGCGGCUGGUCAAGUCCGAUGUGAAAGCUCCCGGCUUAACUGGGAAAUUGCAUCGGAAACUGAUCGGCUGGAAGGUGGGAGAGGGUAGCGGAAUUCCAGGUGUAGCGGUGAAAUGCGUAGAUAUCUGGAGGAACACCGGUGGCGAAGGCGGCAUCCUGGACCGGCAUUGACGCUGAGGCGCGAAAGCCAGGGGAGCAAACGGG